UUUACUAUCUGGCCCUUUAAAGAAAAAAAGUGCUGAUCUGUGCUAUAGACUAUGAAAAAAAGAGGACUUAGGGGAAAUCCAUAGGAAUUCUCAAAAGGUGAGUGGCAGAAGAGGAGCAGGCAGAGGAGGCCGACAGCGGUAGUAAAGAGAUGAAACCCAGGAAGAGCAAAGUCAGGAAAGUCAGAGGGAGGGGCUGCUCUGCACAACUGUUAACUGCUGCCGAGAGAGGGAGCAGAGUGAGGACUUGGAAGCAUCUGUUGGAUUUAACCUCCUGAGAUAAUUGAUGGCAUAGAGACUUUCCAUUCCAGGUAGUAGAGGAGGCAGACGUCAGAAAGAAGCUCCCUUACACAACUCUGAAUUGGAUGUGAAAGGAGGAGAGAAUGAGGCAGUAGUGUUUCUGAAAAGGACCCGGGAAAGAGGGAGAAGUUGAAGAUAAGAGAGGCAAAAGGGAUCAGCGAUGGCGAAGCACCAGAUGCCUGGGUACAGAUGCAGAGAAAAUGGAGAUACUUGGGGGUUUGCCAGGUAAGUUUGAUAGAACAAAAGGAUGAUAACUGGGUAAUGGUUGAAAUAAUGGUCCUGCGGUAUCUAAACUGGAUGAGUAUGGACGUGAGUGCUACACAAAGCAUUGCGAAGAUAGUAAGAGAGCCCAGUGCACAGUCCAGUGACAGCUCUGGUCUGUUGGGAGUUGUUGAACAAGCAGGUUUGGAAGGACAAGAAAUGCUCGUCGGAGACCAGGAUCUCAGAAGCAAGUUCACAGUGUAGGACGAUCCAAGAUGUGACCUUGAAGUGGCCAAAUGAAGUAAAGAAGAUCACUGAAGACAAAACACCAUCGAGAAACUUG
rnacentral:lncRNA from 1 species